rnacentral:sRNA from 1 species
GUCUCUGUCCCUGUCUCUCUGGGUCUCUGUCUUCCUCUCUCUGGGUCUGUUUCCCCCUCUCUCUGGGUCUCUGUCCCCAUCUCUCUGGGUCUCUGUCCCUCUCUCUCUGGGUCUCUGUCCCCAUCUCUCUGGGUCUCUGUCCCCCUCCCUGUGUCCCCCGCUCCCAUGUGUCCACAGUUCCUCCGGCUCUCUGACCGAACGGAUCCAGCUACAGUUUAUAGUCUGGUCACACGCACAUGGGGCUUCCGUGCCCCGAACCUGGUGGUGUCAGUGCUGGGGGGAUCGGGGGGCCCCGUCCUCCAGACCUGGCUGCAGGACCUGCUGCGUCGUGGGCUGGUGCGGGCUGCCCAGAGCACAGGAGCCUGGAUUGUCACUGGGGGUCUGCACACGGGCAUCGGCCGGCAUGUUGGUGUGGCUGUACGGGACCAUCAGAUGG